AUUGAACGCUGGCGGAAUGCUUUACACAUGCAAGUCGAACGGCAGCACGGACUUCGGUCUGGUGGCGAGUGGCGAACGGGUGAGUAAUACAUCGGAACGUGCCCAAUCGUGGGGGAUAACGUAGCGAAAGCUACGCUAAUACCGCAUACGAUCUAAGGAUGAAAGCGGGGGAUCGCAAGACCUCGCGCGAUUGGAGCGGCCGAUGGCAGAUUAGGUAGUUGGUAGGGUAAAGGCCUACCAAGCCGACGAUCUGUAGCUGGUCUGAGAGGAUGAGCAUCCACACGAGGACUGGGACACGGCCCAGACUCCUACGGGAGGCAGCAGGGGGGAAUUUUGUACAAUGGACGCAAGUCUGAUCCAGCCAUUCCGCGUGCAGGAUGAAGGCCCUCGGGUUGUAAACUGCUUUUGUACAGAACGAAAAGGCUCUGGUUAAUACCUAGGGCUCAUGACGGUACUGUAAGAAUAAGCACCGGCUAACUACGUGCCAGCCGCCGCAGUAA
rnacentral:rRNA from 1 species